GACGAACGCUGGCGGCGUGCCUAAUACAUCCAAGUCGAGCGGACAGAAGGGAGCUUGCUCCCGGAAGUUAGCGGCGGACGGGUGAGUAACACGUGGGCAACCUACCCUGUAGAUCGGGAUAACAUCGAGAAAUCGGUGCUAAUACCGGAUAAUCAUUUGAAGUGCAUGCUUCGAAUGUAAAAGAUGGCUCCGGCUAUCACUACGGGAUGGGCCCGCGGCGCAUUAGCUAGUUGGUAAGGUAAUGGAUUACCAAGGCAACGAUGCGUGGCCGACCUGGGAGGGUGAUCGGCCGCACUGGGACGGAGACAAGGCCCAGACUCCUACGGGAGGCAGCAGUAGGGAAUCUUCCGCAAUGGACGAAAGUCUGACGGAGCAACGCCGCGUGAGUGAUGAAGGUUUUCGGAUCUUAAAGCUCUGUUGUUAGGGAAGAACAAGUGCCGUUUGAAUAAGGCGGCACCUUGACGGUACCUAACCAGAAAGCCACGGCUAACUACGUGCCAGCCGCCGCAGUAACAC
rnacentral:rRNA from 1 species